GUUGGUGGUGCAGCGGUUCGCAUGCGCUCCUGGAAGUAGUGAGACCUGGGUUCGGAUCCCGGCCGAUGCA